CGGGUGAGUAACGCGUGAGGAACCUGCCUCAAAGAGGGGGACAACAGUUGGAAACGACUGCUAAUACCGCAUAAGCCCACAGCUCGGCAUCGAGCAGAGGGAAAAGGAGCAAUCCGCUUUGAGAUGCCUCGCGUCCGAUUAGCUAGUUGGUGAGGUAACGGCCCACCAAGGCGACGAUCGGUAGCCGGACUGAGAGGUUGAACGGCCACAUUGGGACUGAGACACGGCCCAG
rnacentral:rRNA from 1 species